UUCUGGAUGAGCCCGCGUCCCAUCAGCUAGUUGGUAGGGUAAUGGCCUACCAAGGCUACGACGGGUAGCUGGUCUAAGAGGAUGGCCAGCCACACUGGAACUGAGACACGGUCCAGACUCCUACGGGAGGCAGCAGUGGGGAAUCUUGCGCAAUGGGGCGAAAGCCUGACGCAGCGACGCCGCGUGGGUGACGAAGGCCUUCGGGUUGUAAAGCCCUGUGGGGUAGAACGAACUGGCAUCGGGCUAAUAUCCCGGUGUCUUGACGGUACUGCCUUAGCAAGCAUCGGCUAACUCUGUGCCAGCAGCCGCGGUAAGACAGAGGAUGCGAACGUUGCUCGGAUUUACUGGGCGUAAAGCGCGUGUAGGCGGUCUCGUUAGUCGGGUGUGAAAGCCCCGGGCUCAACCCGGGAAGUGCACCCGAUACUGCGAGACUGGGGUACUGAAGAGGAGAGCGGAAUUCCCGGUGUAGAGGUGAAAUUCGUAGAUAUCGGGAG
rnacentral:rRNA from 1 species